rnacentral:misc_RNA from 1 species
UUUCCGUAGGUGAACCUGCGGAAGGAUCAUUAAUGAGUUGUCAUGGGGUUCGAUGCUGGCAGCCAGUUUUUGGAUGCAUGUGCUUGAUCUAACAAUCAUCUUCUUCCAAACACCUGUGCACAUUUUUGAGGGAGUCUUGAGUUGUUUGCCGCUCUUGGGUGAUUUUCUCACAGUCCCUUAAAUCAUUAUACGCUAUUAACAAUGUUGAACGUGCUCUGUGCCGCAAGGCCAUUAAUCUAAUACAACUUUUAACAACGGAUCUCUUGGCUCUC